rnacentral:rRNA from 1 species
UACGUAGGCAGCGAGCGUUGUUCGGAGUUACUGGGCGUAAAGGGUGCGUAGGCGGUUGUUUAAGUUUGGUGUGAAAUCUCCCGGCUCAACUGGGAGGGUGCGCCGAAUACUGAAUGACUAGAGUGCGGGAGAGGAGAGUGGAAUUCCUGGUGGUAGCGGUGAAAUGCGUAGAUAUCAGGAGGAACAGCCGGUGGUGUGAGACGGC